rnacentral:lncRNA from 1 species
UCUCUCUUCCCUUUGACUCAUCCUUCCUUUUGAAUUUGAUUUAAAAGAAAAAUAUAUCAGUUAAGGAUCUGAUAUGGGCAUGGGAUGUUAUUUUUGUGUGAUAGAAAUAUUUAGAAAGGUGGGCAUGCGUUGAAGUUGUGCGUGAGAUAACUUCCUUACCGCUUCUCCUAUCUCAACACAUCUUAUCCCUUCCUUUUGAUCUUAACGCCCA